AGUGAACGCUGGCGGUAGGCCUAACACAUGCAAGUCGAACGGCAGCACAGUAAGAGCUUGCUCUUACGGGUGGCGAGUGGCGGACGGGUGAGGAAUACACCGGAAUCUACUUUUUCGGGGGGGAUAACGUAGGGAAACUUACGCUAAUACCGCAUACGACCUACGGGUGAAAGCAGGGGAUCUUCGGACCUUGCGCGAUUGAAUGAGCCGAUGUCGGAUUAGCUAGUUGGCGGGGUAAAGGCCCACCAAGGCGACGAUCCGUAGCUGGUCUGAGAGGAUGAUCAGCCACACUGGAACUGAGACACGGUCCAGACUCCUACGGGAGGCAGCAGUGGGGAAUAUUGGACAAUGGGCGCGAGCCUGAUCCAGCCAUACCGCGUGGGUGAAGAAGGCGUUCGGGUUGUAAAGCCCUUUUGUUGGGAGAGAAAAGCAGCAGGUUAAUACGCCGCUGUUCUGACGGUACCCAAAGAAUAAGCACCGGCUAACUUCGUG
rnacentral:rRNA from 1 species